rnacentral:misc_RNA from 1 species
GUGAAUCAUCGAAUCUUUGAACGCACCUUGCGCUCCUUGGUACUCCGAGGAGCACGCCUGUUCGAGUGUCAUGAAGCUCUCAAGCAAGUCUUUUUAUUAAGAUGAGUUUGGAUUUGAACUCUGCCGUGUAACAAACGGCUAGUUCUAAAAGUAUUAGCUGAUCCUAGUAAGGUUUUGGUUCUUACUUGACGUGAUAAUUAUCUAACGUCAAGGACAUUUCUCACUUCACGGUGGGACAUGGCCAGAGUCUUGUCAAGGAUUGCUUCUAAUGGUCUUCAUUUGACAACAUUUUCUUAAUCU